AAGACACUAGUAAAAACAUUACACUACCUUGUCAAGGUAAAAUUGUGGGUUAAACCCCCACGUAUCUUG
rnacentral:tRNA from 1 species